rnacentral:lncRNA from 1 species
GAGACUUUCCUCCUAGCCACGUGGAAGUCAGUCUGCUCCUGGCUUUCUCUGGAUGAAGAUGUAGAACUCUCAGCUCCUCCUGGGAGCUACCAUGCUCUCUCCUUGAUGAGAUAAUGGACUGACCCUCUGAAACGAUUUCGUGUCAUGUUGUGAGUGCAACAUGUUCGACAGCUUUCCUGUGGAGGGAAUAUCUUCUACGAUGGGAUCUGCAGUCUAUUGGACAGUGCGGCUCACAACCGGAGCAGCUCUCCGGGUUUCAUUGGUUGUCUCAUAUGCCAAUCAUCUCUGGAUAUACCCCCAAAGACACACUCAGAACUGUGCUGUAUUCACUUGCUAGACAUCUCUCCAUCCAAUCAGGUUGACAGUUAGGACUAAUCGUUCCAGAUAAGUAAUUAAGGACAGUUGUCCUCUUUAGAGGACAUAUAUUCAUUUUCAAGUCUCAUGGCUUUACAAGCCAACAUUGUCUUAGCAUCUCCUUUUCAGAUACAUCUUUCACAGCACCCCAAAAGGAAGGAGCAGAUGCUGUGUGAAGAUCACGCUGUCAUGGAUGUUGUGGAACAAUUUGGCUUUGAUGGAUGUCACUCCCUCACCGCUUCUCCGGGGAGACAACCUGAGACACUGCAGGGACCAAGGGAUCUCUUCUCAGUUGCAUCUUCAAUAUGGAUGUCCUGGCCCAAAGCAGAAACCCUCCCACUGGAUGCUCUGUUUGGGAUGAUUUUUGGAGUAGAUUUUUUUCUCUCUCUCAAAAUUAACUCCACAAUUGAGCACAGCAACAUUAUUUAUCUGAUCAUUUAAUGAAACUUGCCGACUAGCAUUUUUUUCCUCCUUUUGAGAUGAAGAGCCCGACAUUCAAUAGAAACACACCGACAUUGCUUCUUGUUCCGUCAAAGGGAGGAGCUCAGAGCGAGUCGUUUUGUGUGACAGAGGGGAAAUAUCCAAAAUUGGCAUUUUUGGGGGGAAGGGAUUUGAGCCGGGAGUUCUUUGGAUAACUUCUCCAAGAUUAGACAGUUUGGAAUUGGUGUAGUUACUGGGGGCCGGCAGAUUUGACUUCCAGGGCUGAGGAGAUGGCACAGGUAUAGAGUUUGAAAUGGAGGUGUGAAAACCAGAAUUCAGCCAUGUCAAAGCUGGGCAGGCCCAGCAGCCACCUAUAAUCCUAGCACUCUGGAGAAAGACACAAGGGAAUUCUAGGGAUACACUGAAAGGCUAGCCGAGUCAGAAUUGUUAAACUGUGGUUUUACUGAAAGACCCUGUCUUAAUAAACGAAGUCGAGAGUCAUUGAG